rnacentral:lncRNA from 1 species
GGCAGUUAGUCGUGGCCUUUGUUCGUUCAAUCAAAUCGCGUCAUUUGUUUAAAAAAAAAUUCAGUGAAUUCAAAACGCUAAUAUUGUUGAUGUAAACAAAUGUUUGUGUGUGCUGGUAGAGCAUUACAGAACUAAGAAAAGUAAUUUUAAUUCCUUCUUUUCCAGGUUGCAUUUAAAGGAUCUUACCAUCUGAAGGAGACACGCAAUAUGUUGGUAAUAUCCAAUUGUUCUCAUUGCAUAUACCAUCCAAUUCCUGCUGAAUGAACAAAAUAAAUUAAAGAUCUAUGAGAGAACAAUAUAUCAAAACAUCAUUCGUUUAUACCUAGAAAGGUACAGAAUUUAAAGGACCUCAAGAUGGGUGAGGGCUGUAGAUGCAUACAUGAAAGACCUCGAACACCGACUCUCAGACUUGACCUAGGCAACAGAGAUCUGUGAUCAAGAAUCCCUGAUCACAAGAUUUCAUGCAACAGCAUCCUGUGCAUACAUGAGUUAUACCCGUGUAAGUUUUGCUUAUUUUCUCCCUUCUUUCUCCAUUUUUGUUUUUUUUUUAAGGAUGGUUUAAAAAAAAUAAACCAACACUGAUUUACUUCUGUGGCAGAUAUACUUGAUGAUAUAUGCAUACUAGCAAGGAAAGAAGCAAACAUUUGCUCAUAGCAGUAUACUGUUUCUGACAUGAUUAUGCAAACCCUAGAAAAGCUCUAAUAUUUCCUUUGUAGCAAACCCAGA